GAGCAAUGAUAAAAAGGUUUUACUACUGACCUUUAUAACUAUGCAGGUUUCUACACUUGAUCUGAGCCCA
ensembl:snoRNA